GUAGCUGGGAGCAACCUGCAUAGAAAUCAGGCAAUUCUAGGCUAACGGGGCUCUGGGUUUUUUCUAAAAAUUACACAUUUUAUAUACAGGGUAGAAUGUAACCUGUAUGUGAAAACCCGUUAAAAAACAAACAAACCAAAAAACAACUGUCACCAGAGACAGCUUCCAACUCAGCCAAACCCUCACACUGGCCAAGACUGUGUUCUCCAGCCCCGAGUUCUUGAACUGUGGGACUGUCACCAUUCUUUGGCCCUGUGUCCUAUCUGCCUGAUGAGAUGUUUCCCUUCCCGCAGCAGACGGUACCUUCUUGGGCGACCAGAACCCCUUGGGAUCCAUCUCCCUGGGGCACGGCACACAGUUAAGGUGCUCAGAGGUCAAUUAACUCAUGAAACGUGAAUGAAGGUGUAGCCAGGGGGUGCCCGAAAAAUUCCCGUGAGCAGGUGUGACUGCACCACACAGCAGGAAAAAAAGAAACCAAAAACUAAUGAAGAACUCUGUGGUGAGGCAGCUAGGUGGGAUAUAGGGCAGGAAAGAGAGAAACAGGAAACCCAUCCCAGGCCUUCCCCACCAAGCUGGAAACUAUUCCAAGAGUUCCCCAUGGAUCAGGCUGAAUUUCUUCUAAAGCCUGCAACGAACACACAACUUCUAGAAUACAUGGCACACAUUUUAAAAAUGCAGACAUCAAUUAGCAAAUCCUCCCCAAGAUAAAAAUCAGGCGGGGUGGGGGGGGCCAGGGCUCAACAUUCAACCUCCAGCGCUGAGCUGGAAAUUUUCAGGUCAACACCGGGCCUUCUCUGUCCUGUGUCUGGUUUCUAGAAUGUGUCCUCCACCGAUCAGCCCACUCCUGAAAGACACUGCCCUAGUGGCUGUCCACUUAAAAAUAACCACAUAAAGGAGAGAAAACAACCGUUAGUCGGAGAAACCUGUUUUUUAGGCCACGCCCAGCAGGAUCGAACUUUCCUUUUAAAAGAAGAGAGAGAGAGAGACAGGAAAACAGGAUCUCAACUUCCAUUUUAAAAGGAGAAAGACAGAAAAACGCAGGCAAGAACCAGAAACUGGCCAGGUUGGCUGGGGGGUGUGGGCGCCCCGGGCGUCCUGUCCUUCUCCUGACACUUUUUUGGGUGCGGUUUUCCGAAUUAUCUGCUCGGACACACGGACGAGCGGCUGAGAAUACGUGUCCCGUGGCGGCGCCGUUCUGCACCCGACCGCGCGCUCGCCAAAAGUCCCCGCGGCCCGGACACCCCACGAGCUGCUGAGCGUUUCUAGAGCUCCGAGUUUUCCCUGCCUUCCUCCCCCCACUUUCCCGGAUUUCAGGCUCCCCGGCCGAGUCCAAAUUUAGUCCCGGGCCGCAGGGCGUGGCGCCCGGAGGCGGCCACCGAGCGCCUGAACAAAGACGCGGUCCCCGGGCCCUGCCAGUUCUCCGGCCGGGGCGCGGGGCGGCCGCAGGGGCGCACACGCGCGCCCGGGAACUGAAGGGAACCCCGGGGCGAGGGGGACUCGGGGGCCGCCGCCCCACCCAGGGGCCUCCCAACUUUUAAGAAUCUGUGAAUCUGAAAACAAACGCUGACAUUCCGCCUGCGGAGUGAGUCCAGAGGCGCCCGGGAAGAAAGCGGGCAGGAAAGGCCUUGACUCUUCCAAUUACCACUUCCCCUCUCCCAGACCACAGUCUUGGGGCCACUAGAGGGUAUAUGGACGCUGGUUGUUGCAAACAAGAGGACGUCCAGGGCACUUCUGAGGGAGGAAGGGGAUGCUGGAGCUGCUGCAGCCAUUUUGCCACCUUGAGUCACUGGCUUUGGCAAACCAAGCUGCCAUGAGGUAAAUGACCAAGAUAGAGGAACUCACAUGAUACAGAAGGAUCGGUGACCUGAGAGCUGCUUCCAGCAAGAUACUGAAGCAUCAGCCCUGCCUGCAGCUGCUGGGAGAUGAAUUCCACCAACAGCCUCAAACUCCACAAGAAGUGGACCCGACCCCAGCUGAGCAUCUGAGGAGAAUACAGCCCAGCUUAUCCCAGGAUGGCUGCCUGCUCAGACCCUGAAGCAGGAACCCAGCUAAGCCAGGCUUGGACUCCUGGCCCAACAGAAACACACAUGAGAUAACAAAUGUGUGUUGAUUUAAGAUGCUAAAUUUGCACUAGUUGGUUAUACACUAUCAGAAAACGACUUCAGCUGGAGAACCAGCCUUGGGACCCUGCAGCCAGGAAAAUGCCCCCAAACCAAACCCCAAAAUUGGCCUGUGAGGAUAUUUCUCUGGGCACCACAGCCCCGGGGACUCAGCCCUGCUGUCCCAUCUCUGCCUCUGGAGAGACUGACUUCCAGCUGUGUCUCGAGCCCCCCAUGAAAAGCCUGGGAACAGAUGCAUCUGGUCACAGACCCCAGGAUUCAGGUCCCCUCCUCUAGCUGCAAGGGAAGCUGGGAAAUGUCUUCUGAGGUUGCUUCUGUGCUGGGGUUCAUGGGGAGGGGAGUGGCCCAGACGUGGGGAGGUUGUCACCAAUCUGUUCAGCCCACCAUGAACUGAUGGGCUCACGGGCUUCACGAACCACUUCUUAAUGGCCCUACAUUCGCCAGGAUGUGUCAAGGCAUCGCUGAGCCAAACUCCACAAAUGCCUUCCCUGUCAGCCCUGUGAGUGCGCCAUGUAAUCUGUUUUUCAAUGUUUCGUUUAAAAUAGGAGGUUCCUUUCUUCAAAGGUAAAAAGAAUAGUAUACGCUUGUAAACUCAGCCAGUCUUGUUUCAUCUAUUCCUCAUCUCACCCUGGGUUAUUUACAGACAAAUCCCAGACAUCAUAAAACUUCAUCUGCAAAUAUUUGAGUAACUAUCUCUGAAAGUGAAAUUUCAUAUUUAAAAACUACUACACCUUAAAAAUGAUCAAUAAUUCACAAUUUCAUCAAAUAUCAAGGCAGGGAAUAUCGUCACCCUUGUCUUAAAAUACUUGGAUUACAGUUGGAUUGCUUAAAUUGGGAUACAAAGAAAUCCCGUAAAUUGUGAAAAACUAAACUAAACUAAAAUAAAACAAAAUAAAUAAGAACAGUAGAAUAGAAUAGAAUAAAUAGAAUAAAAUAAGUGUGACUAAGAAUAAAAUAAGAAUAAAUAAGGUAAAAUAAAUAGAACAAAGUAAGAAUAAAGUAGAAUAGAAGAGAAUAAGAUAAAACAAAUAAAAAUAGAGGGACUUCCCCGGUGGCGCAGUGGUUGAGAAUCCGCCUGCCAAUGCAGGGGACAUGGGUUUGAGCCCUGGUCCGGGAAGAUCCCACAUGCCGUGGAGCAACUAAGCCCGUGUGCCACAACUACUGAGCCUGCGAGCCACAACUACUGAGCCCACGUGCUGCAACUACUGAAGCUCAUGCGCCUAGAGCCCGUGCUCCGCAGCAAGAGAAGCCACUGCAAUGCGAAGCCCGCGCACCGCAACAAAGAGUAAUAAUCACAUGUGGAGAGCAUUCCAGCUGCCGUGCUUAUUUGCCUCGAAAUUCCGUUUCCUAUCUCAACAAUCCCUCGGCUUAGACUAUUUCGGGGCCUCCCACAUGUCUUUGAAGGGUCCCCAAGUUUCAACCCACUAAUGGCCCUAAAAAUCAGUGUGAGCAAAGGUGACUUUUACUCAACGAAAAUGAAAAGGACACCCAUAUACUUUUUCAUUUUCUAAUGACGAAUUAGACUUUUUUAAAAGUGGAUCAUCCGGCAUCUGGAAGACAUUUGGUAUCACCAGCCGUGUAAAAAUCACAUGUCCCUCAUCCUCUGGAGCUGGCCUGUCUGGCAGCCAGUGUGCUCCGGUCAGGGUGACACCGGGCCGUGACACGCCCCGAGAGAAAACACUUGCAAAGUCAAGGAGGUGGGUGUGUGUAUGGGAGGGGGGGGGGGCUUCCAGAUUUGCUUUAUCUAUAGUGACAGCAAAGGCAGCCAAACACCACAAGCUCCUUUCUUUCUGUUUGCAGUUACUGGCAGACCUUAUUUUAUUGCACUUCUAAGAUAGAGUAGUUGUUUUGUUUUGUUUUGUUUUUGUUUUUUGUAACCAACGAAAGCUUUGAGGCGACCCUGCAUGUUUUUCCCAAGAGCAUUUGCUCACUUCGUGUCUCUGGGUCACACGUUGGUCAUUCUCACAAUAUUUCAAACGUUUUCAUUAUGUAUAAAAUAGAUAAACAGCCAGGACCUACUGUACAGCACAGGGAACUCUACUCAACAUCUUGUAAUAACCUAUAAAGCAAAACGAUCUUAAAAAGUGUAUACAUACACAUACAUAUAUAUAUAUACACAUAUGUAUAUAUAAAACUGAAUUACUUUCCUGUAUACCUGAAAGUAACACGGCAUUGUAAG